AGUAGGGAAAUGCUUACAGCUGCCUCUAGAAGCAAGUCCGCUUGCUGCAUGGAGAGGGAAACAUGAGCAUGCAGCAGGACUAGCUGUCACCUCCCGCCCGCCUGCCCAGAGAGGGCCAGAGCGUCGGGGAGGCAAGAUGAUCCACCAACGGUGCCAUCCUGCACUUGGAUGCAGUAAGCUGUGAGGUCCGCAAUGUCAGACACUGGCAAACAUCACAUGUUCUUCAAGUAGAGUUAUGAAAACGGAGAAACCGGUCGGAAGAGUAAAACGCCGGAAUUGUCCUUUCCAAGAUCCAGAGCUGCAACAUUCCUUGGGGCAAAAUGUGGACAAGGUAGUAGAGUUGUCCUUGAGCCAGUAACCUGACCCUUUUGAAUCUCUGUUUCUGCGUUUAUAAAAUGGUGACAGGAAGAUUUUUCAGAGGAUGAAAUGAGAAAAUGCACAUAGAGUAACUCGUGCUCAAAAAGAGAAAAGGUAAAUUCUCUUAUCUAUUGAGAUCGAUCAACUGUUUUCUGUAUCUCAGAGAAUCAACCAUCAACUGCACACAAAUAAAAAAGCUCUGGGCGCUGUAUCAAGCCAAGAACAGCCCCAUCUCCUUUCUGGGGAAAGGUUCCAAG
rnacentral:sRNA from 1 species